CAGCCGCCGCGGUAAUACCGGCGGCCCGAGUGGCGGCCACUAUUAUUGGGCUUAAAGCGUCCGUAGCCGGGUUGGUUAGUCUCCCGGGAAAUCUGGCCGCUUAACGGUCAGAAUUCCGGGAGAUACUGCCAGCCUAGGGACCGGGAGAGGCCGAGGGUAUUCCCGGAGUAGGGGUGAAAUCCUAUAAUCCCGGGAGGACCACCUGUGGCGAAGGCGCUCGGCUGGAACGGGUCCGACGGUGAGGGACGAAGGCCAGGGGAGCAAACCGGAUUAGAUGCCCGGGUAGUCCUGGCUGUAAACGAUGCGGACUUUGUGUCGGACAAGCUAUGAGCUUGUCCGGUGCCGGAGGGAAACCGUUAAGUCCGCCGCCUGGGGAGUACGGCCGCAAGGUUGAAACUUAAAGGAAUUGGCGGG
rnacentral:rRNA from 1 species